AAAGUCCAGGGCCCAUGAUUUCAGUAUUUGCCUCCUCCCUUCAGGACCCAUUGUGGUUGGGAAGGGGCAAGAUGCUUGCUUCUGGUGGAGAUGCUGGGGAUGAACCUAGGAAGGGAUGAAAGUUUGCUUUUCCCUCAGGGCGCACUGUUACUGGGAGGUUUAAUGUUUGACUAAUUUCCUCUUCCUCCUCAGGAGCCACACUGCUCCCCACCCCCAGCUGUCUUGUUGGGAUCUUAUUUUUUAUAACCCUUCAGUUUCAGGAAGAAUUCUAUUUCAGUCAGCCAAAUGUCUAUAAACAUUAGCUUCAAAAGUUGUUUGCUAUUAUAUGUGAACCAAAUGUUAAAUUGAAAACAGAUUAUUCAUAUUUCUUCUUCUGUAAAGUGCCUGUACAGUUCUUUAGCCCAUUUAUUGUGAAAUUAUUAGUUGAGUUAUUUGUUUUUAUGGUGUUAAGUUUUUUGAGUUCUUUAAUCUUUGAUCCUGGAGAUUAAUGCUCUAUCUGAUGAGCAGGUGGCAAAGGUCUUCUCCCAUUUUGUAGGCUGUCUCUAGAAUUACAAGCAUUGCUGCCUUGCCUGGCUGUUUAAGAUCUUUUUGCAUUUCAAUUAAGGCUUAUUCUUUGUCCCAUGUGUUAUUUAAAUGUGUUUUGCUGAGUGUGUAAAUAUUCUGAAUUUUUCUGCUUAUCAUACGAUGUCCAUUUCUAAUUUAGUUUCACAGUGGUCUGAGAUCAUAUAAUUGACACUUGAAC
rnacentral:lncRNA from 1 species